rnacentral:lncRNA from 1 species
CUAGAUUAUGAUUCAGUUAGUUACAGGUUUGUCAGACACGUCAUUAAUUACGAUUGAAUGGUAUUUUCCAUGUUUUAAAUGUAAUUUUUCAAGCGACGAUAUAAAUCAAGCUAUCGGGGAUUCCGGAAAACCCACUUGACCUUGCUGGACAUUUAAAAAUUGGGAUUUUCCGUAUACAUACGAUAAGGUACACUGUGUGUAUUAUGUAACAAAUAAAUGGCAUUUACAGACAAGA